rnacentral:rRNA from 1 species
GACGAACGCUGGCGGCGUGCCUAAUACAUGCAAGUCGAACGCAGUGGGGACGGGUGAGUAACACGUGGGUAACCUCCCAUCAGAGGGGAUAACACUUGGAAACAGGUGCUAAACCGAUACUGAUGGAUGGACCCGCGGUGCAUUAGCUAGUUGGUGAGGUACCGGCUCACCAAGGCCCCGAUGCAUAGCCGAACUGAGAGUGUGAUCGGCCACACUGAGACUGAGACACAGCCCAUACUCCUACGAGAGGCAGCAGUAUGGAAUCUUAGGCAAUGGACGAAAGUCUGACCUAGCAACGCCGCUUAAGUGAAGAAGGUUUUCGGAUCGUAAAACUCUGUUGUUAGAGAAGCGGUAUCUAACCAAAACGCCGCGGCUAACUACGUGCCAGCCGCCGCGGUAAUUC